CUGACAGUGAUAAUUCAGAGAUGGUUCAUUAAAAUCACGUGUCCAUAAACGAUUAAGCUACAACUGGCAUACUAGAAAACAUCAUUGACGUCAUCGUCGUUACAAAAAAGUCAACACUAUAUCAGAUUUUGCGACAAUUUCUACGUCGCCGUGACACAAUAUAAACAUGCAUAAUAAACCAGAUAUUUAUACAAUAAACGAUGCGCCACCCUCAUACGCGGAAGCAACAGGAGCACUUGCAUCAGAUACACAAAAUCCACAAUUAGGCCAAAGAUAUCCACAUACAACGACCUAUCCGUCUCCAUCAGCGCCGUUUCCGCAUCCGUAUUCGCCGAAUUAUGGCUAUCAGAAUAUGGAUAGAGUGCCUAUUCAAUCAUCUUAUCCACAAUAUGAGUCAACGGAACA